UCCACGCUACUUUUCUUUUCAAUUGAAGCAUACUGUUUUCUUAAGCUUUUCUGUUUUCUCUCUUCCUCUUCUUCUUAAUUCUAUCUUCCUAUACCUCUCUCUUUAUCUUCCUUCUUCUUUAUUCUGCUUCCUCUCUCUUCUUAUUCUUCUUUCUUCUCUCUUCUUUUUCUUCAACAAAAAAUGUUACUUUUAUCCUUCUCUUCUUAGAUCUACGAAACAUUGACGCCUAUUUCGUUGUUGAUAUUUUUGUUGUUGUUGCACGUUUCGAGAAAUUAUAUCUGGUUGAUCUAAACUGCUUGAUCAACGAGUUGUUUAGAAGCUAGAUGGGUUAAGAAAAAAUUAUGCAGAUCUGAACAAAAGCGCUUAUGGAUUGGGAAUUCUUUUUGGAAAAGUUGCAAAUAAAGCUAAAAAGAAUGUGUUGGGGAAGAUCAUGUUUGAUAUUGCGACACAUCAAUUCAAAUUUCAAAUAUCCCUCUUCAUUUGUAACCCAAUCAAUUUCUAUCUUCUGAGUGCAACCAUUUGGACACAAUAUAUAUAACUUACAAAAUUUUAUAUUAAAUAUCAUGUUUUCAAUAA